AGUGAACGCUGGCGGUAGGCCUAACACAUGCCAGUCGAACGGCAGCACAGUAAGAGCUUGCUCUUACGGGUGGCGAGUGGCGGACGGGUGAGGAAUACAUCGGAAUCUACUUUUUCGUGGGGGAUAACGUAGGGAAACUUACGCUAAUACCGCAUACGACCUACGGGUGAAAGCAGGGGAUCUUCGGACCUUGCGCGAGUGAAUGAUCCGAUGUCGGAUUAGCUAGUUGGCGGGGUAAAGGCCCACCAAGGCGACGAUCCGUAGCUGGUCUGAGAGGAUGAUCAGCCACACUGGAACUGAGACACGGUCCAGACUCCUACGGGAGGCAGCAGUGGGGAAUAUUGGACAAUGGGCGCAAGCCUGAUCCAGCCAUACCGCGUGGGUGAAGAAGGCCUUCGGGUUGUAAAGCCCUUUUGUUGGGAAAGAAAAGCAGCAGGUUAAUACCCCGCUGUUCUGACGGUACCCAAAGAAUAAGCACCGGCUAACUUCGUG
rnacentral:rRNA from 1 species